GGGGUUUAGAGCCCAAAGCCAUUAAAAGAUCAAUAGAAGUGGCUUUUUGUGAAUUUUCUAUCCAAAACCCAAUCAAAAUGCCCGAAACGUGAUACGCCAAUUGAAUGCAAGAUAGCUGUAUGUGAUUGGUCGGAGAUUUAGACAGUAC